AUUGAACGCUGGCGGAAUGCUUUACACAUGCAAGUCGAACGGCAGCACGGACUUCGGUCUGGUGGCGAGUGGCGAACGGGUGAGUAAUAUAUCGGAACGUGCCCAGUCGUGGGGGAUAACGUAGCGAAAGUUACGCUAAUACCGCAUACGAUCUACGGAUGAAAGCGGGGGAUCGCAAGACCUCGCGCGAUUGGAGCGGCCGAUAUCAGAUUAGGUAGUUGGUGGGGUAAAGGCUCACCAAGCCAACGAUCUGUAGCUGGUCUGAGAGGACGACCAGCCACACUGGAACUGAGACACGGUCCAGACUCCUACGGGAGGCAGCAAUGGGGAAUUUUGGACAAUGGACGCAAGUCUGAUCCAGCCAUUCCGCGUGCAGGAUGAAGGCCCUCGGGUUGUAAACUGCUUUUGUACAGAACGAAAAGGCUCUUCCUAAUACGGAGGGCUCAUGACGGUACUGUAAGAAUAAGCACCGGCUAACUACGUGCCAGCAGCCGCAGUAA
rnacentral:rRNA from 1 species